rnacentral:tRNA from 6 species
GGGCCCUUAGCUCAGUUGGUAGAGCAACUGACUUUUAAUCAGUGGGUCGCAGGUUCGAAUCCUGCAGGGCUCA